UUGAUCCUGGCUCAGAUUGAACGCUGGCGGCAGGCUUAACACAUGCAAGUCGAGCGGAGAGAAGUAGCUUGCUACUGAUUUUAGCGGCGGACGGGUGAGUAAUACUUAGGAAUCUGGCUAUUAGUGGGGGACAACAUUUCGAAAGGGAUGCUAAUACCGCAUACGUCCUACGGGAGAAAGCAGGGGAUCAGUAAUGACCUUGCGCUAAUAGAUGAGCCUAAGUCGGAUUAGCUAGUUGGUGGGGUAAAGGCCUACCAAGGCGACGAUCUGUAGCGGGUCUGAGAGGAUGAUCCGCCACACUGGGACUGAGACACGGCCCAGACUCCUACGGGAGGCAGCAGUGGGGAAUAUUGGACAAUGGGGGGAACCCUGAUCCAGCCAUGCCGCGUGUGUGAAGAAGGCCUUAUGGUUGUAAAGCACUUUAAGCGAGGAGGAGGGUACUGGUAUUAAUACUACCAGCUACUGGACGUUACUCGCAGAAUAAGCACCGGCUAACUCUGUGCCAGCAGCCGCGGUAAUACAGAGGGUGCGAGCGUUAAUCGGAUU
rnacentral:rRNA from 1 species